UCUCUCGGUCAUCCGGCACUGCCUACGGUCACCCCCUAUUAGACCACGGAUCAUCUGCACCCCGGUUGGAACAGCAGAAUCAUCACAAGGAAAAUAACUUGAUACAAUGGAACUUUUAAGUUCAUAUAAUCCUUCAUCCAGUCUCAUUGGUCUCCCCCUGAUAAUCUCAAAAGGAGACAAAUGUUUUCCAAAACGGGUGGAUCUGAGGUUGAGGAGAACCAAUGG